rnacentral:tRNA from 1 species
UCCAGGGUAGCCUAGUGGACAUGGCAUCUGCCCGGUAAGCGGAACACUGCGGGUUCGAUUCCCAUCCCUGGAU